GCUGGUUUAGCUCAGUUGGUAGAGCACCUGUUUUGUAAACAGGGGGUCGUGGGUUCAAGCCCUACAACCAGCACCA
rnacentral:tRNA from 1 species